GCCCCCACUUCUAGGCUUGGUUGAACCGUGCAGAUACCUUCUCGAAACAAAAGAUUUUCCUACCUGCUUAUACUUGGUAACCGAGGGAAUUUCUAAGACUUCUUGCUCAUUUCUGAGUAUUGUCUUUAUAUCCUGACACUAUGAAUGCUACUUGGAUGCCUCUUAAGGGUCUCUUCUGCAGGGUCCCCAUGAAUUGUGGCUGAAGUUGUGCACAAACAAGUAUCUCCAGUGACAGGAGUGCCUUCUGAGGCAGCCAUUGCAUCUUCAUCUGCUGACACUCUGCUAGGCUGACUUCUGUAGUUUUCACCACUGAUCUUCAGUCCACCUCACAGAGCUCUAUAAAACGCUUAAAUCCUCUUUACAUCAUAGACUUUCAGCUACUUGAAGAUAGCCAUCAGCCGCUACGUGACUCUUUUCUCCAGGUUGAAGAUUAUUCUCUCUUCUAAAGAAAAUAGAAGAAUAUUAGGAGAAAAGACACUUGAAAAUGUUCACUCUUUUAUUCACAUUACAUCAUCUGUCUUGAAUAAUGGGUCUAUCUCUUUCCUGUUGCUCUGGCCCUGAAAAAAAAAUUAGCUUUUUAAGGCUGCUUUUGUUACGUGUGCAUUUUCUUGUAAUCCCGUCAUUCUGGGAUUUAAUAAUAAUAGUAUUAAUACCACCUACCAUUUGUUGGUUACUUACUGUGUUUUAGGCACUGUGCUAAACGCCUUCCAUGU
rnacentral:lncRNA from 1 species